rnacentral:misc_RNA from 1 species
GUAUUGCAUUGCCUUCCCCCAGCACGCCUGUCCCCCUCUUGCGCCUCUCCCAUAUCUAUCAAACACUUGCGCUACUGCGAAAAUUCGCAGACACUCAAACUAAAAUUCAACCUCUCUUCGCUCCGGAGACAGAUUCAAUCAUUCCUCAACAGGACUUUUUCCUUCACUUAUAGUUGACUUUGCCAGCGAUUAUGACGCGUACGAACGGCGAGAUAAAUUAAAAUUCUCCCAAUUAUUCGGGAUUACGAUCGUGUGUUGCUUAAUUAUUCAAUUGUUUAAUUCGUUCACCUCAUCGACAUAUGUAUAUUAUAUAUUUUUCCUUUUUUGUUUCGAAUCAUUUGUUUGUUAUUUUCUCUCGUUGCUUUCCUUCUCGUCGUUUUUCUCUCUUCGAAGUUUAUCUAUUUCAUCUUUGGAAAAAUUCUGUUAAAAUUCGAAAUUCCAAACGAAUUUUCGUCCGCUCCUUUCAUUCCGUCGAUCGGUCACCGCUCCAAUAUCAUCAGUCAGAACGAAGAGAACCACUCUCCAGAGUUCUCCGAAUUUUUUCCUGCCCCGUGUUCUGGUCCCCCAUCGGCCGUUGAGGAGGCCCCCCGCCGAUACUUCCGGAAUUAGUCGUCGUGUGACCGUUUCCCUUCGCCUGUGACGAAACCAUUUCUUCUAUCUGUUCCAAACAGCCUCUCAGAUAAUCCUGUAACGUGAAUAAAAAUAUCUCGUGUAAGGAAGGGAAAGAAAAGAACAGAGAAUAACCAAAAAGAAAGCAACAACUGCAACUGGUGUACU